GUGCUCGCUUUGGCAGCACAUAUACUAACAUUGGAAUGAUACAGAGAUUAGCCUGGCCCCUGCGCAAGGAUGACACGCAAAUUUGUGAAGCAUUCCAUAUUUAA